CUCAGGCCACCGAAGGGAAAGGCACUGUGACAGUUCUGGAGGGUCAACCAGCCCAUCAGCUCACCUCGAGCGCCUGGCCCAGCUCCAGGUCGAAGGUGACCACGCACACGCACUCCAGCCAGGCAGAGAAGCGCGCCCAGGGGAUCUCCGCGGUGCGCGCCGCGCGGCCGGGCGACGCGGAUCUUGUCGCGCCUAGUCCUCCGCCAGCUUGCCGGGGCCCGGGGCCCACCGGCACCUCCAUGGUAGCAGCUCCGGCGGUAUCCCGCACGUUGCGGAGAAACGCAGGGAUUCACCUGGGCCGCCUAGGAGCAGUCGAGCUGCCGCCGCAGGCCAGAAGGGCCCCCCGAGCAGCCGCGCGCCCCCUGGCGCUAGCGGAGCGUCCGCCCUGGGGUGUCGCCUAACGUACCAGCGAGAAAGGCCCCAGCCGGUUAGAGGGGUCUAGAGAUGGAGGCGCUUCCCGAUCGUGGAGAUUGCGUGACCCAGGAUGCCAGUCACUGACAGGAUUGUUUGGCAAGAUUAUUCACAAGACAGCUGUGGAGGUGAGAGGCGGUAUCAAGCCUGUAUUCAACAGUGUCUCUUUGGCGCCCUCUGCUGAAAAAGGGAAAAACACAGCAACAGCAGCACCACUUCAAAGGAAAAAACACUUGAAGGGGCCAGAUCCUCUCCACUUGAGACAUUUUUGCACUCCAAGCUGACCCGGAACUCGCUGAGACGACAAGGCGAGCCUCGGGCUGCAGAGAUUCCCCCUCUCUGGAGUGCUGGCAUUAAAGACGUGCGCCAAUACACCCGGAACGACAA